rnacentral:rRNA from 1 species
GAUGAACGCUGGCGGCGUGCCUAAUACAUGCAAGUCGAGCGAACAGACGAGGAGCUUGCUCCUCUGACGUUAGCGGCGGACGGGUGAGUAACACGUGGAUAACCUACCUAUAAGACUGGGAUAACUUCGGGAAACCGGAGCUAAUACCGGAUAAUAUAUUGAACCGCAUGGUUCAAUAGUGAAAGACGGUUUUGCUGUCACUUAUAGAUGGAUCCGCGCCGCAUUAGCUAGUUGGUAAGGUAACGGCUUACCAAGGCGACGAUGCGUAGCCGACCUGAGAGGGUGAUCGGCCACACUGGAACUGAGACACGGUCCAGACUCCUUCGGGAGGCAGCAGUAGGGAAUCUUCCGCAAUGGGCGAAAGCCUGACGGGGCAACGCCGCGUGAGUGAUGAAGGUCUUCGGAUCGUAAAACUCUGUUAUUAGGGAAGAACAAAUGUGUAAGUAACUAUGCACGUCUUGACGGUACCUAAUCAGAAAGCCACGGCUAACUACGUG